UACGUAGGGGGCGAGCGUUAUCCGGAUUCACUGGGUGUAAAGGGAGCGUAGACGGCCAAGCAAGCCAGGGGUGAAAGCCCGGGGCCCAACCCCGGGACUGCCCUUGGAACUGCAUGGCUGGAGUGCGGGAGGGGCAGGCGGAAUUCCUGGUGUAGCGGUGAAAUGCGUAGAUAUCAGGAGGAACACCGGCGGCGAAAGCGGCUCUCUGGCCUGUAACUGACACUGAGGCUCGAAAGCGUGGGGAGCAAACAGG
rnacentral:rRNA from 1 species